CUACUGAGAAGUCCUUCUUCAUAAGCUACUAUCACUCUUCCUUUUUUCUAUAAUCACUUAUUCCUAAUACUUGUAAACAUAGUUAAAAUACUACUAAAUUUGACAUUUAAAAUCCCGUUUCCACUUUCAAGCUCCGUUUCAUCUCAGCACCAAAGGCAUGGUCGGAAAACAAUUGCAAACGGACUUUUUUAAGCAACUUCUGUACAUGUUUUACGUCUCAUUAAAUUGGCGCUAAACUUUAUUAGGGGUAAGCUAACUAUUGGACCUGCACAUCAAAACCCCAUAACUAUAGCACAGUGGA
rnacentral:sRNA from 1 species